AUCAGCAAACACAUUUAAGGCAAUCCAUAGUACGAAGAAAUUAACAAAAUACCGAACUGGUUUUCCUAAAUCCGCCGCUGUUUCUUCUCAAGUCGUCCGUAUCCUCCGAAACCUUCGUACGACGCUGUUCAAGCUCCGCCGCCGCCAUUGGCCCUCGUGUGGAUUUUAUUAUUCCGGUCGUAUCUAUCUAUCUUGCGCCGUUCCCAAUUUCGUGAUUUGGGCGCCCAUCAUUGAUUGUGUAGUGGGCCAUACAUCCACUUUGGACCUUGUUCUCACUCUCCAUGCAGAGAUGACUUGAGCAGACAAAAAGCACUAGUCCAACUGAUGUGUUAUGGUCUUUAUUUAUAAAUGGUGGAAACUUAAUUUCAUGCAAUGAAUCCAGAAUGAAUUUGCAAACGCAACUCACUGGACAAGUAUCAGGUCAGGCUGGUAAUAUGCUGCCUGGGCUGCCUCAGCCGAAUGGGAAUCCGAUGCCUGGCAUGGUGCAGAAUCCUUCCCACCAUGGUGUUCCAGUUACGGAUCCAGAAUAUACUAAAACUCGCAGAUAUAUGCAAGAAAAGAUCUGGGAAUUCCUCAUACAAAUGCACCGGCGGCACCAAUCUCAUGAGGUCCCUGCUAAGAAAAUGCUCGAUUUAGUGAAACGCUUGGAAGAGGCUUUGUUCAAGAGUGCUCCUACAACGGAGGAGUAUGUAAACUUGGCUACAUUGGAAAGCCGGUUGCAUUAUCUGAUAAAAUGUAUGCCCAUGAGCAAUCACAACCAGCAGUACUCGCAAGCAAAUUCUUCUUCAUCUGUCAGUACUAUGAUUCCAACUCCUGGUUUGCAGCAAACUGGAAACUCUAGCCUUACUGGUACUCCGUCUGUGGAUAGCUCUUUCAUUGUUAACAAUAACUCCGGCAUGAUUGCAUCCUCUACCACCAAUUCCGGGAACUUCUUACCUACUGGAAAUGGAUCUUCUGCCAACAUGCAUGGUGGUUCUUUUAGUUCAUCUGAUGGACUGAUGGGUGGUGGAUAUCAACAGUCAACUUCUACUUUCUCUGCCAAUUCUAGGGCAAAUAGCGUCAUCACAUCCAUGGGUGGGCAGAGGAUGGGAACUCAGAUGAUCCCUACUCCUGGAUUUAAUAAUUCUAAUAGAACCGAAGGAAACAACAAUGCCACUAGCCAGUCAUUCAUGAAUAUGGACCCUUCAAAUAAUGUCGGUGCUUUUUCUUCUGUUGAAUCUUCCACACUUGCACAACCAAUGCAACAGAAGCAGCACAUCAGUGGUCAAAAUAGCCGCAUUUUACACAAUAUUGGUGGACAUAUGGGUAGUGGAAUCAGAUCUACUUUGCACCAGAAGUCCUAUGGAUUAUCAAGUGGAUCCUUAAAUGGAGGAAUCGGGAUGAUGGGAAACAAUAUAUCUAUGAUGAAUGGACAAGGAAGCACAGAGGGUUAUUUGACAGGAACGAUGUAUGGAAACUCCACCAAACCCAUGCAUCAGCAAUUUGAUCAUCCUCAAAGACAAGCAAUCCAGGGUGAUGGUUAUGGAGUUGGUGCUGGUGAUGGUUCAGGGUCUGGAAACAUGUUUAUUCCUGUGUCAUCUGUUGGAUCGAUGACAAACAAUCAGAGCCUGAAUCCCAUAUCUAUGCAGUCUAUGCCAAAAACUAAUAGCUCUGUGAUGAUCCAUCAGCCGAACAUGCACUCUGCUCAACAGGUCACAACCAUGAAGCCUCAAUCAAUGGACCAAUCAGACAGAAUGAAUUUUCAAUCACAGUAUUCUGGGAGCGAAAAUCUUGUACAUUCUCAUCAACAUUUUCAGCAGCCAUCCAAUCAGUUUCAACGCCAGCAGCUUGUCCAACAAAGGAAUACGCACAACCAGCUUUUUUCUAAGAAUGGCACUUUUGGACAAUCUCAGAUGUCAUCUAACAUCAUUUCCGAUUCAAAAUCUGGACAUGUUGAUGAAGGUUUGCAGUCACAAGUAUCUGAUCCGUUUCAGUUCACUGAUGUGCAAAGUCACUUCCAACAGAACCACAUGGAUGAUCAUUCUAGAACUUCUCAGCUUAUUUCACAUUCAUCUGAUCUACAUAACGUUAGUUCAUCGCUGAAUCAAACAUCAGAUCAGAUGCAACAAUUAUUGCAUCCACAAGAAUUUGCUUCUAACGCAAGAAGUGAUCUCGGUGGUUUUUCUGGUGGCAUUCAAUCAGAUGUGGCGAUGCAUGGUCAAUGGUAUUCCAAGCAGCAGGAUGUAUCAAAUGUAUCGGGGAGACUUUUACAUGAUCAAAAUGUGCAAGAGGAAUUUCAUCACAGAAUAAUUGGACAAGACGCAGCACAGCCCAAUAAUUUAUCAUCUGAAGAAUCAACAAUUGGCCAACCAAAUGCUUCUAGAUCUGCAGAACCUCCAAAGCCAGACAGUACUGUGUCUCGACCUAAUACCGUUAAUCGUGAACAGCAAUUUAAGAAGCAGCAGAGAUGGCUCUUGUUUUUGCUGCAUGCACAUCGAUGUCCUGCUCCAGAAGGGAAAUGCCCAGAGACUAACUGCAUAACAGUUCAAAGGCUUUUGAAACACACAAGACAGUGCAACUUGUUGCAGUGCCCAUACCCUCGUUGCUCUGCUACUAGAGUUUUGAUGGGUCAUUUUAAAAGCUGCCGUGAUACAAGUUGCCCUGUUUGUGUUCCUGUGAAGAGUUUUGUUGAACGUGUAAGUACGGUAUCUGCCAAUAUGGAUUACAGUUCACGGUUGCCUAGUUCUGUGAAUGGCUCUCGUCAAUCAUACGAGACUGCUGAAAGUGCUGGAAGAUCAACUUCUAAGGCAAGCCCGAUGAUAGCUGAGAGUCCAGAAGAUCUGCAACCUUCUAUUAAGCGCAUGAAAAUUGAACAAGGCUUCCUACCUGUAGUUUCUGAAAGUGAACCUGCCGCUGCACGUGCUGCUAUUGUAAACGAGCCUCGUGUCAAGGAAGCGCACCAUCCUGAGCCAUUUCACGGAUCUGAUAUUACUAUGAAAUCUGAAAGUGCUAAAGUGAAGAUGGAAGUUUCAGGAAAUGUUGGCCAAUUAAGUUCCAAGAUUGUUGAGACAAAAAAGGAUAUCAUCAAAGAUUCUGAUGUUAAAAGGUCAGAAGGAGAUUUUAUCACAUCAAACAGCAUUGCUGGAUUUGGUGUACAGAAGACCAUUGAGAGUGAGAAGGAAAUAAUGGGGCAGGUGAAGAUGGAAAAUUCAUCAUUACCUUCUGAAACUAUAUCCAAGUCCGGGAAGCCAAAAAUAAAGGGUGUAUCACUGACUGAAUUGUUCACCCCAGAACAAAUUCGGGAGCAUAUUAAAGGUCUUAGACAGUGGGUGGGACAGAGCAAGGCAAAAGCAGAAAGGAAUCAAGCAAUGGAACAUUCCAUGAGUGAGAAUUCCUGCCAAUUGUGUGCAGUUGAGAAGCUUACCUUCGAACCACCGCCGAUAUAUUGUACACCUUGUGGCGCUCGCAUAAAAAGAAAUGCCAUGUAUUAUACCAGUGGGGCUGGUGAGACUCGUCAUUACUUCUGUAUUCCUUGUUACAAUGAGACCCGUGCGGAUAACAUUCAAGUUGAUGGACUUCCUAUUCCAAAGUCAAAGAUGGAGAAAAAGAAGAAUGACGAGGAAACUGAAGAAUGGUGGGUUCAAUGUGACGACUGUGAAGCUUGGCAGCAUCAAAUAUGUGCAUUAUUCAAUGGUAGAAGAAAUGAUGGUGGGCAGGCUGAAUAUACCUGUCCAAACUGUUAUAUAGAAGAAAUUGAAAAAGGAUUACGUGCUCCAUUACCACAAAGUGCUGUUCUUGGGGCCAAGGAUUUACCCAGGACGAUUUUGAGUGAUCAUAUAGAGCAACGGUUGAUUGCAAAGCUGAAGCAAGAAAGGAUGGAUAGAGCAAGGAUUCAGAACAAAAGUUACGACGAGAUUCCUGGAGCAGAAUCACUUGUUGUAAGAGUAGUUUCAUCAGUGGACAAGAAGUUGGAAGUUAAGUCACGGUUUCUUGAAAUUUUUCAGGAGGAAAAUUAUCCUACCGAGUAUCCAUAUAAAUCUAAGGUGAUUCUAUUAUUUCAAAAUAUUGAAGGUGUUGAGGUUUGCCUAUUUGGCAUGUAUGUCCAAGAAUUUGGUUCUGAAUGUCAGCAACCGAAUCAUCGACGCGUCUAUCUCUCAUACCUGGACUCAGUUAAGUAUUUCAGGCCAGAGGUUAGAACGGUGACAGGAGAGGCCCUACGGACAUAUGUGUACCAUGAAAUAUUGAUUGGAUACUUAGAAUAUUGCAAAAAGCGUGGUUUUACGAGCUGCUAUAUUUGGGCUUGUCCCCCUUUGAAAGGAGAAGAUUAUAUUUUGUACUGCCACCCAGAAAUUCAGAAGACGCCGAAAUCUGAUAAGCUUCGGGAAUGGUAUUUGUCCAUGUUAAAGAAAGCUGCAAAGGAAAAUAUAGUCGUUGACCUGACUAAUCUUUACGACCAUUUCUUUAUUCAAACCGGGGAAUGUAGAGCAAAGGUAACUGCUGCCCGGUUGCCGUACUUUGAUGGAGAUUAUUGGCCCGGCGCUGCUGAGGACAUGAUCUUUCAACUGCAACAAGAAGAGGAGGCAAGGAAACAUAAUAAAAAGGGAAUUUUGAAAAAACCCAUCAACAAGAGAGCACUAAAGGCAUCUGGCCAAACGGAUCUUUCAGGAAAUGCAUCAAAGGAUGUGCUGUUGAUGCAUAGGCUUGGAGAGACAAUAUUACCGAUGAAGGAGGACUUUAUCAUGGUUCACUUACAGCACGCUUGCACGCAUUGCUGCCUUCUGAUGGUGUCUGGGACACGCUGGGUUUGCAAACAGUGCAAAAAUUUUCAGCUAUGUGAGAAGUGCUAUGAUGUGGAGAGAAAACGCGAGGACAGAGAAAGGCAUCCCGUCAACCAGAAAGACAAACAUGGACUUUAUCCUAUUGAAAUCACAGGUGUCCCGGAAGAUACAAAAGACAAAGACGAGAUUCUUGAAAGUGAAUUCUUUGAUACCAGGCAGGCGUUCCUCAGCCUUUGUCAAGGAAACCAUUAUCAAUAUGAUACCCUGCGUCGGGCUAAGCAUUCCUCCAUGAUGGUUCUCUAUCACCUGCACAAUCCAACUGCCCCGGCUUUUGUGACAACAUGCAACGCUUGCAACACUGAUAUAGAAUCCGGGCAGGGCUGGCGCUGCGAGACAUGCCCCGAUUAUGAUGUGUGCAACGCAUGCUAUCAGAGUGGAGAAUUCAAUCAUCCUCAUAAAUUGGCCAUUUAUCCAUCCAACGAUCGCGAUGAUCAGAACAAAGAAGCACGGCAAAUGCGUGUUAUGCAGCUAAGGAAAAUGCUUGAUCUCCUAGUGCACGCUGCCCAUUGCCGUUCAGGAUUCUGCCAAUAUCCAAAUUGUCGCAAGGUGAAGGGACUGUUCCGCCAUGGCAUGGGGUGCAAAACACGAGCCUCGGGAGGUUGUGUCCUGUGUAAAAAGAUGUGGUAUCUCCUCCAACUUCACGCCCGUGCAUGCAAAGAGUAUGAAUGCACUGUCCCACGGUGCAAAGAUUUGAAGGAGCAUAUGAGGAGGCUGACACACCAGCAAGAGUCUCGAAGACGAGCUGCUGUUAAUGAAAUGAUGAGGAAACGGGCUGCCGAGGUUGCCGGGAGCUCGUGAUGUAAGUAGGAACAUACAUACAUAUAUGCAACACAAUCCCUUCCAUUCCAGUCCAGAUUUAAGCAGUGAAGGCGAAGCGAAGAAGAAGAAGAAGAAGAAAGGAAAGUCCGGGUCGGGUCGGGUCGGGUUGGCCUUUCAUUGUUACAUAGGCUAUUCUUUGAUUUCCUUGUAUUUGAUCUCCAUUGAUGAUGAUGAGGAUGAUCUAUAAUGGUGUGUGUUUUGUGUUAGUGUUACAUAGAUGAGAUGGGUUUGGUUGGUCGUCUUAAGCAUUGAAAGAUGAUUGAUUGAUCGAUUGUAUGAUAUUUUGCAAAUUACAAUUUUAACUUUUCCAA